CAGACAGAAGCUUAAAGGUUAAGCGUUUAGUUGUUAAUUUUAAGUUUGUAGGAUCGAAGCCUUCCUGUUUUA
rnacentral:tRNA from 1 species